rnacentral:rRNA from 1 species
GACGAACGCUGGCGGCGUGCCUAACACAUGCAAGUCGAACGCACAGUUUAUACCUUAGCUUGCUACACCAUAGACUGUGAGUUGCGAACGGGUGAGUAACGCGUAGGUAACCUGCCUGGUAGCUGGGGAUAACUAUUGGAAACGAUAGCUAAUACCGCAUAAUAUUAAUUAUUGCAUGGUAAUUAAUUGAAAGGUGCAAUUGCACCACUACUAGAUGGACCUGCGUUGUAUUAGCUAGUAGGUGAGGUAACGGCUCACCUAGGCGACGAUACAUAGCCGAACUGCGAGGGUGGUCAGCCGGACUGGGACGGAGACACGGCCCAGACUCCUACGGGAAGGAGCAAGAGGGCAACUUCGGCAAGGGGCGAAAGACUGACCGAGAAAGGCCGCAGGAGGGUAGAAGGACGUCGGAUCGGAAAGGUCGGUUGUAAGGGAAGAAAGGGCGUGAGAGUGGAACGUUGACAGUGUGACGGUAACUGACCAGAAAGCACCGGCUAACUACGUG